CCUACGGGAGACUGCAGUGAGGAAUAUUCGUCAAUGGACGAGAGUCUGAACCAGCCAAGUAGCGUGAAGGAUGACUGCCCUAUGGGUUGUAAACUUCUUUUAUAUGGGAAUAAAAUGUUCCACGUGUGGGAUUUUGUAUGUACCAUAUGAAUAAGGAUCGGCUAACUCCGUGCCAGCAGCCGCGGUAAUACGGAGGAUCCGAGCGUUAUCCGGAUUUAUUGGGUUUAAAGGGAGCGUAGGUGGAUUGUUAAGUCAGUUGUGAAAGUUUGCGGCUCAACCGUAAAAUUGCAGUUGAAACUGGCAGUCUUGAGUACAGUAGAGGUGGGCGGAAUUCGUGGUGUAGCGGUGAAAUGCUUAGAUAUCACGAAGAACUCCGAUUGCGAAGGCAGUUCACUGGACUGCAACUGACACUGAGGCUCGAAAGUGUGGGUAUCAAACAGGAUUAGAUACCCCAGUAGUC
rnacentral:rRNA from 1 species